rnacentral:rRNA from 1 species
GAUGAACGCUGGCGGCGUGCCUAAUACAUGCAAGUCGAGCGAACGGACGAGAAGCUUGCUUCUCUGAUGUUAGCGGCGGACGGGUGAGUAACACGUGGAUAACCUACCUAUAAGACUGGGAUAACUUCGGGAAACCGUAGCUAAUACCGGAUAAUAUUUUGAACCGCAUGGUUCAAAAGUGAAAGACGGUCUUGCUGUCACUUAUAGAUGGAUCCGCGCUGCAUUAGCUAGUUGGUAAGGUAACGGCUUGCCAAGGGAACGAUGCAUAGCCGACCUGAGAGGGUGAUCGGCCACACGGGAACUUGGACACGCUCAAGGCUCCUAAGAGAGGGAGCAGUAGGGAACCUUACGCAAUGGGCGAGAACAUGACGCAGUAACGCGGCGUCAGUGAUGAAGGUCUUGCGAUCGUAAAACUCUGUUAUUAGGGAAGAACAUCUGUGUAAGUAAAUGUGCAGAUCUUGACGGUACUUAAUAAGAAAGCACCGGCUAACUACGUG